rnacentral:rRNA from 1 species
ACAUAACUGAUGCCUCCGCGUAUCGACUUUGUGCGCAUUUUAGCUAUUAUGUGUUCUUUUAAUUAAAAUGAUUCUUUUUAAGAUUCAUCUAUUAAAAAUUUGCCUCGGCAUAAUUUUUUUUGAUGAUCUUGUUACUUUGAGUAAAUUAGAGUGUUCAAAGCAAACAGAUAUAGCAUUUGUGCGUUUGAAUACUACAGCAUGGAAUAACAAAAUUGAACAAGUCAGAAUUUUUUUGUUCUUUUUUCUUAUUUUGGCUUAGUUACGAUUAAUAGGAGUAGCUUGGGGGCAUUUGUAUUCAGAUGUCAGAGGUGAAAUUCUUAGAUUUUCUGGAGACAAACAACUGCGAAAGCAUUUGCCUAAAAUACUUCCAUUAAUCAAGAACGAAAGUUAAGGGAGUGAAGACGAUCAGAUACCGUCGUAAUCUUAACCAUAAACUAUGCCGACUAGGCUUUGGAUGAAAGAUUUUAAAAUAAGAGUUUUUCUUUUCUCUCCGGAGAUUAGAACUCUUAGAUUGCUUCCUUCAGUGCCUUAUGAGAAAUCAAAGUCUUUGGGUUCUGGGGCGAGUAUUCGCGCAAGCGAGAAAGUUAAAAGAAUUGACGGAAGGGCACCACCAGGCGUGGAGCUUGCGGCUUAAUUUGACUCAACACGGGAAAACUCACUAGUUUAAGACAAGAGUAGGAUUGACAGAUUAAUAGCUCUUUCUUGAUUUCUUGGAUGGUGAUGCAUGGCCGUUUUUAGUUCGUGAAUAUGAUUUGUCUGGUUAAUUCCGAUAACGAACGAGAUCUUAACCUGCUAAUUAGCGGCAAAUACGAUAUAUUCUUAUGUAGAAUUGAAUAUAGUGGAUUUGUUAGAUUUUGAAGAAAAUAUUGGAAUUACGUUAAAUGUGAUUCCUUUCCCUUUUCUACUUAAUUUACAUUUCCAUCUAUUUCUUUUUUGCGCAUGAAUGUAUUUGCUUGAUUGUAAAGCUUCUUAGAGGAACGAUGUGUG